GAUGAAGAACGCAGCGAAAUGCGAUACGUAAUGUGAAUUGCAAAUUCAGUGAAUCAUCGAGUCUUUGAACGCACAUUGCGCCCCCUGGUAUUCCGGGGGGCAUGCCUGUCCGAGCGUCAUUGCUGCCCUCAAGCACGGCUUGUGUGUUGGGCCCCGUCCUCCGAUCCCGGGGGACGGGCCCGAAAGGCAGCGGCGGCACCGCGUCCGGUCCUCGAGCGUAUGGGGCUUUGUCACCCGCUCUGUAGGCCCGGCCGGCGCUUGCCGAUCAACCCAAAUUUUUAUCCAGGUUGACCUCGGAUCAGGUAGGGAUACCCGCUGAACUUAAGCAUAUCAAUAGCGGAGGA
rnacentral:misc_RNA from 1 species